rnacentral:rRNA from 1 species
GCGAACGCUGGCGGCAGGCUUAACACCUGCAAGUCGAGCGGGCAUCCUUGUGGUGUCAGCGGCAGACGGGUGAGUAACGCGUGGGAACGUGCCCUUCGGUUCGGAAUAACUCAGGGAAACUUGAGCUAAUACCGGAUACGUGCGAGAGCAGAAAGGUUUAUCUGCCGAAGGAUCGGCCCGCGUCUGAUUAGCUAGUUGGUGAGGUUACGGCUCACCAAGGCGACGAUCAGUAGCUGGUCUGAGAGGAUGAUCAGCCACACUGGGACUGAGACACGGCCCAGCCCCCAACGGGAGGGAGCAGGGGGGAAUAUGGGAAAAGGGGGGGAACCCUGACCCAGCCAGGCCGGGGGAGUGAUGAGGGCUUUAGGGUUGAAAAGCUUUUUUCCCCGGGAAGAUAAGGGGGGGACCGGAGGAAAAAGCCCGGGUGAACUUCGU